rnacentral:misc_RNA from 1 species
UACGGAAGGGGCAAGCGUUGUUCGGAAUCAUUGGGCGUAAAGGGCGCGUAGGCGGUCUCGUAUGUCUGCUGUGAAAGCGCACGGCUUAACCGUGAAGGGUCGGUGGAAACUGCGAGACUUGAGGCUGGGAGGGGCUGGUGGAAUUCCCCGUGUAGCGGUGAAAUGCGUAGAUACGGGGGAGAACACUCGUGGCGAAGGCGGCCAGCUGGACCAGUCCUGACGCUGAGGCGCGACAGCGUGGGGAGCAAACAGG